ACCUUAGAGACCAGCUAAGUUUGUUAUUGGUAUGAGCUUUCGUGUGCAUCUGAAGAAGUGUGCAUGCACACACAAAAGCUCAUACCAAUAACAAACUUAGCUGGUCUCUAAGGU